rnacentral:rRNA from 1 species
CAAUAGCGUAUAUUAAAACUGUUGUGGUUAAAACUCGUAGUUGGACUUCUGCUGAGGACGACCGGUCCGCCCUCUGGGUGAGUAUCUGGCUCGGCCUUGGCAUUUUCUUGGAGAACGUAACUGCACUUGACUGUGUUGUACGGUAUCCAGGACUUUUACUUUGAGGAAGUUAGAGUGUUUCAGGCAGGCGCACGCCUUGAAUACAUUAGCAUGGAAUAAUAAGAUAGGACCUUGGUUCUAUUUUGCUGGUUUCUGGAGCUGAGGUAAUGAUCAAUAGGGAUAGUUAGGGGCAUUCGUAUUAAAUUGUCAGAGGUGAAAUUCUUGGAUUUGUUAAAGGCGGAUUACUGCGAAAGCAUUUGCCAAGGAUGUUUUCAUUGAUCAAGAACGAAAGUUAGGGGAUCGAAGACGAUCAGAUACCGU